GUACAGUACCUCACUCAGUAAGGCAUUGUUCUUCUAUACUAAUAAAUGAACAGCGCCUUUCUGUGUAGCGUAAUGUGCAA
ensembl:miRNA Mir201 microRNA 201